rnacentral:rRNA from 1 species
UACGUAGGGUGCGAGCGUUAAUCGGAAUUACUGGGCGUAAAGCGUGCGCAGGCGGUGAUGUAAGACAGAUGUGAAACUCCCCGGGCUCAACCUGGGAACUGCAUUUGUGACUGCAUUGCUGGAGUGCGGCAGAGGGGGAUGGAAUUCCGCGUGUAGCAGUGAAAUGCGUAGAUAUGCGGAGGAACACCGAUGGCGAAGGCAAUCCCCUGGGCCUGCACUGACGCUCAUGCACGAAAGCGUGGGGAGCGAACAGG